GAUGAAGAACGCAGCGAAAUGCGAUAAGUAAUGUGAAUUGCAGAAUUCAGUGAAUCAUCGAAUCUUUGAACGCACAUUGCGCCGCCAGUAUUCUGGCGGGCAUGCCUGUCUGAGCGUCAUUUCAACCCUCAUGCCCCUAGGGCGUGGUGUUGGGGAUCGGCCAAAGCCCGCGAGGGACGGCCGGCCCCUAAAUCUAGUGGCGGACCCGUCGUGGCCUCCUCUGCGAAGUAGUGAUAUUCCGCAUCGGAGAGCGAUGAGCCCCUGCCGUUAAACCCCCAACUUUCCAAGGUUGACCUCAGAUCAGGUAGGAAUACCCGCUGAACUUAAGCAUAUCAAUAAGCGGAGGA
rnacentral:misc_RNA from 1 species